rnacentral:rRNA from 1 species
CAACUUUCAACAACGGAUCUCUUGGCUCUCGCAUCGAUGAAGAACGCAGCGAAAUGCGAUAAGUAAUGUGAAUUGCAGAAUUCAGUGAAUCAUCGAAUCUUUGAACGCACCUUGCGCUCUUUGGUAUUCCGAAGAGCAUGCCUGUUUGAGUGUCAUU